rnacentral:rRNA from 1 species
UUAAGUAAGGAAGGGCGUACGGCGAAUGCCUUGCCACUCGAAACUGAAGAAGGACGCGCCAAACUGCGAAAAGCUCCGUGAAGCUGUAAGGAAGCGAAGAAGCGGAGGUGUCCGAAUGGGGGAACCCGGCAGCAGACAUGAGCUGUCAUCUGCAGGUGAAUACAUGGCCUGCAAGAGAGGUACCCGGCGAACUGAAACAUCUAAGUAGCCGGAGGAAAAGAAAACAACAGUGAUUCCCUGAGUAGCGGCGAGCGAAAGGGGAGAAGCCCAAACCGGUUGAAGGACCGGGGUUGAAGGACCAUGACAUGGCAAGAACGAGGAUAGGAGAACGGGAUCGAAAGCCCGGCCGAAGAAGGUGAAAGCCCUGUAACCGAAAUCCGAGUAAAGCCUAAUGGGAUCCUGAGUACGGCGAGACACGAGAAAUCUUGUCGGAAGCAGGCGGGACCAUCCGCCAAGGCUAAAUAUAAACGAGUGAGCGAUAGUGAACCAGUACCGUGAGGGAAAGGUGAAAAGAACCGCGGGAGCGGAGUGAAAGAGAACCUGAAACCGUAUGCCUACAAGAAGUCAGAGCCCGUUAAGGGGUGAUGGCGUGCCUUUUGUAGAAUGAACCGGCGAGUUGCGACAGACUGCGAGGUUAAGGAGGAAAGACCGGAGCCGAAGCGAAAGCGAGUCUUAAGAGGGCGAAAGUAGGAUGUUGCAGACCCGAAACCGGGUGAUCUAGCCAUGAGCAGGUUGAAGUUGAGGUGAAACUCAAUGGAGGACCGAACCGACUACCGUUGAAAAGUUAGCGGAUGACUUGUGGCUAGGGGAGAAAUUCCAAUCGAACCCGGAGAUAGCUGGUUCUCCCCGAAAUAGCUUUAGGGCUAGCGUCGGAAAGAACCUUAGUGAAGGUAGAGCACUGAAUGUGUGAUGGCCCCAUCCCGGGGUACUGAAUACAAUCAAACUGCGAAUGUCAUUAAGGAUGUCCGGCAGUCAGACUGUGAGUGAUAAGGUCCAUGGUCAAGAGGGAAACAGCCCAGACCGCCAGUUAAGGUCCCAAAAUACAGGCUAAGUGGAAAAGGAUGUGGGGAUGCCCAGACAACUAGGAGGUUGGCUCAGAAGCAGCCAUCCUUUAAAGAGUGCGUAACAGCUCACUAGUCGAGUGACCCUGCGCCGAAAAUGUACCGGGGCUAAGCCUGAUACCGAAACUGCGGAUUGUAGGAAACUAUAGUGGUAGGGGAGCGUUGUAUACGAGCAGAAGCCGUACCGUGAGGAGCGGUGGAUUGUAUAGAAGUGAGAAUGCCGGUGUGAGUAGCGAGAUGUAGGUGAGAAUCCUACACACCGAAAGCCCAAGGAUUCCAGGGGAAGGUUCGUCCGCCCUGGGUAAGUCGGGACCUAACGCGAGGCCGAAAGGCGUAGUGGAUGGAAAGCAGGCGAAAGAUUCCUGCACCCGUAUAUGGAGCGAAGGAGUGACGGAGACGGAUAGUGUGACCCUCUUAAUGGAUUGAGGGCGAAGCGAAGCGGCUGGUUACCAGGCAAAUCCGGUAACCAUAAGGCUAGAGCGUGACAGGUAAGCGAAAUCUUAGGAAAGUAGCGAAGCACAUGAUGACGGCUUCCAGGAAAAGCUUCUGGCAAUGCAUAUGCGGCCCGUACCAAAACCGACACAGGUGGGCAGGGAGAGAAUCCCGAGGUGAGCGAGAGAACUGUUGCCAAGGAACUCGGCAAAAUGACUCCGUAAGUUAGCGAGAAGGAGUGCUUAAGCAAUUAAGCCGCAGUGAAGAGGCCCAAGCGACUGUUUAACUAAAACACAGCUCUCUGCGAAGUCGCAAGACGAAGUAUAGGGGGUGACACCUGCCCGGUGCUGGAAGGUUAAGAGGAUCUGUUAAGAGCGAUCUGAAGCAGUGAUCCGAAGCCCCAGUGAACGGCGGCCGUAACUAUAACGGUCCUAAGGUAGCGAAAUUCCUUGUCAGGUAAGUUCUGACCCGCACGAAAGGUGUAACGAUUUGGGCGCUGUCUCGGCAGCAGACUCGGUGAAAUCUUAGUACCUGUGAAAAUGCAGGUUACCCGCAACUAGACGGAAAGACCCCAUGGAGCUUUACUGCAGCCUGAUAUUGAAUUCUGGUCAUACAUGUACAGGAUAGGUGGGAGACAAAGAGACGUGCACGCCAGUGUACGAGGAGUCGACGUUGGGAUACCACUCUUGUGUGACCGGGGUUCUAACCUGGUAUCGAGAACAGGUACGGGGAGAGUGUCAGGUGGGCAGUUUGACUGGGGCGGUCGCCUCCCAAAGAGUAACGGAGGCGCCCAAAGGUACGCUCAGAUUGGAUGGAAACCAAUCGUCGAGUGCAAUUGCAGAAGCGUGCUUGACUGUGAGACAGACAAGUCGAACAGGGACGAAAGUCGGGAAUAGUGAUCCGGCGGUGCCGAAUGGAAGGGCCGUCGCUCAACGGAUAAAAGCUACCCUGGGGAUAACAGGCUG